rnacentral:rRNA from 1 species
CUACGGGGGGCAGCAGGCGAGAAAACUUUGCAAUGUGCGAAAGCACGACAAGGUUAAUCCGAGUGGUUUCUGCUAAAGGAACCUUUUGUCGGUCCUAGAAACACCGAUGAAUAAGGGGUGGGCAAGUUCUGGUGUCAGCCGCCGCGGUAAAACCAGCACCUCAAGUGGUCAGGAUGAUUAUUGGGCCUAAAGCAUCCGUAGCCGGCUCUGUAAGUUUUCGGUUAAAUCUGUAUGCUUAACGUACAGGCUGCCGGGAAUACUGCAUAGCUAGGGAGUGGGAGAGGUAGACGGUACUCGGUAGGAAGGGGUAAAAUCCUUUGAUCUAUUGAUGACCACCUGUGGCGAAGGCGGUCUACCAGAACACGUCCGACGGUGAGGGAUGAAAGCUGGGGGAGCAAACCGGAUUAGAUACCCGUGUAGUC